rnacentral:rRNA from 1 species
GUGGGGGAUAACUUGGGGAAACCCAAGCUAAUACCGCAUACGACCUACGGGUGAAAGGGGGCUUUUAGCUCUCGCUAUUAGAUGAGCCUAAGUCGGAUUAGCUGGUUGGUGGGGUAAAGGCCUACCAAGGCGACGAUCUGUAGCUGGUCUGAGAGGAUGAUCAGCCACACUGGGACUGAGACACGGCCCAG